UCCAUGAAGCGUAGCAACGAAACCACUGAAUAUUGCCGAGCUUGGGAAGAACCCACCGUCAAACUCCAGAACCCGAACGCUUUUCACAGGUUAUAACGGUAGAAAAAUUCCCUAUUGAGGGAAACGAUCCAUUUUGAUAAACCCAUCCUCUUCGACCGAAAUAAAGCCAAUACUGAAACUGUAGUUAUUGCUGGGGAAAGCAAAAGGCUCUGGUGAGGGAGAAUAUACAUAAAUGGUUGUUUCCAGCCGGAGGAGAGGAUGAAUGUGUUGGCGACGCUAAGAUUCGUGGUGGUUCCCGUCGCCAGGCAAAGUCUGCGUCCUCAACCUUCUUAUUCCACCUUUGAACAUCUACCAGUCCGGGCGGAGGCGAAGGGACGACGGUGGACGGAGACGGCUAGCUCGGAGGUAGAAGGGUAUCUUGGACGGAGAUGGCGGUUGAGAAAUUACAAAAUUUGGAAGAACAAUAGUAUCUUGGUAAAUACUUCUCAUUCUGUUGCAUUUUGAUGAACAUCUUCCCCCUUCCGGUUCAGAACUUAAAAAGGCCUCAUUUUAUGUAUGCAUGAAAGGGCAAUUUAAACUAGCCCAAAGCAAAUGCAUGGGCGCUUCUGGUCUUCCGUAUCUCAGCCUCUCCGAUUUGACCGCCAUUUUUCAAAAUCCAGUUUCACACUUCUCCACCAUUUCUUUGAAAUAUCGCUUGCAAAAAGGGCACCGAGUGGAUCUCAAAGGACAAUUUGUCAGCCUUUGUAAGAAAGGAUACAUCAUAGAAGCAUUUGAUUUCUUUGUGCCUAAGAUAUGGGAAGAACCCAAUCUGUUCUCUCAUCUACUCCAAGCAUGUAUAUUGAGAAAGUCCAUGCCAUUGGGGAAACAACUCCAUUCUCUGAUAAUUACAUCAGGGCUUUCCUCGGACAAGUUCAUUUCCAAUCAUCUCCUGAACCUCUACUCAAAGUUGGGAGGACUGAACACAGUUGUGACUAUGUUUGAUCGUAUGCCCAAGAGGAACACAAUGUCAUGUAACAUUAUGAUUAAAGCGUAUCUUCAAAAUGGUGACUUUGAGAGUGCUAAUAGGUUGUUUAGUGAAAUGUCUGAGAGAAAUGUUGCAACAUGGAAUGCCAUGGUCACAGGAUUGACCCAGUUUGAAAUGAAUGAGGAGGCUAUAUUAUUGUUUUCAGAAAUGAACAACUUGGGUUUCAUGCCUGAUGAGUACUCCUUAGGUAGCGUACUUAGGGGUUGUGCGCAUUUGAGAGCUUUAUUAGCAGGAAUGCAAGUUCAUGCUUAUGUUAUGAAAUGUGGGUUUGAGUUUAAUUUGGUUGUAGGAAGCUCUUUAGCUCAUAUGUAUAUGAAAGCGGGAAGCAUGCAAGAAGGAGACAAAAUUAUCAAAUCCAUGCCAAUUCAUAAUGUAGUUGCUUGGAAUACACUUAUUGCUGGAAAAGCACAAAACGGGUAUGCUGAGGAAGUUCUGAAUCACUAUUGUAUGAUGAAGAUGGCAGGUUUUAGACCUGAUAAGAUUACUUUUGUGAGUGUGAUCAGUGCCUGUUCAGAGUUAGCCACCAUUGGCCAAGGGAAGCAAAUUCAUACUGAAGCAAUUAAAGCAGGAGCUAGCUCUGUAGUUGCUGUAGUCUGUUCAUUAGUUAGUAUGUACUCCAAAUGUGGAUAUCUGGAAGACUCUGUCAAAGCUUUCUCAGAAUGUGAGGAACCGGAUAUUGUAUUAUGGAGCUCAAUGAUUGCUGCUUAUGGGUUUCAUGGGCAAGGACAAGAAGCUAUCAAGCUCUUUCAUCAAAUGGAGCAAGAAAAAUUACAGGCAAAUGAGGUUACAUUCUUGAGUUUGCUAUAUGCUUGCAGUCAUAGUGGACUCAAGGACAGGGGGCUUGAGUUCUUCAAUUUGAUGGUUGAUGUGUAUGGACUCAAGCCCUGGUUAGAACAUUAUACCUGCAUGGUUGACCUGCUUGGCAGAUCUGGUUGUUUAGAGGAUGCUGUGGCAAUGAUACGAGAAAUGCCUGUAAGAGCUGAUGCAGUUAUAUGGAAAACAUUGUUAUCUGCAUGCAAAACCCACAAGAAUACUGAAAUGGCAAGAAAAAUUGCUGAAGAAGUUCUUAUGAUAGAUCCUCAAGACUCAGCCUCUUAUGUUCUUCUCUCAAACAUUCAUGCUGCAGCUAAGAGGUGGCAGGAUGUUUCCGAGGUAAGAAAAGCCAUGAGAGACCAGAAGGUGAAGAAAGAACCUGGUACUAGUUGGGUGGAACUGAAGAAUCAAGUUCACCAGUUCAGUAUGGGUGGUAAAUCUCACCCAAUGUCAGUGGAGAUCGAUCUGUAUCUUGAAGAACUAACUUCAGAAAUGAAGUUCCAUGGCUAUGUGCCUGAUACUGCGUCUGUUUUGCAUGACAUGGAUAAUGAAGAGAAAGAGUAUAACUUGGCACACCAUAGUGAAAAAUUGGCAAUUGCUUUUGCUUUAAUGAACACACAAGGGGGAGUGCCUAUAAGGGUGAUGAAGAACCUGAGGGUUUGCAGUGAUUGUCAUGUUGCCUUCAAAUUCAUAUCCAAGAUAAAGAAUCGAGAAAUUAUAGUGCGUGACUCUAGCAGGUUUCAUCAUUUCAAAAAUGGCACAUGCUCUUGUGGAGAUUACUGAAAUAGCUGAAUGAAUUGGAUUCUGAGGGACUAAGUUUGAUGACAUUAUUGGGCAAGAGAGGGGUGCCAUCUGGACUUCUUGGAGUAAUGCUAUGGAUGUUCUUUAAAAUCAAGUGGAUCGUCUAGAUUCAGCCUAUGCUCAAGUUUUAUCCACAGGUGAUGAUUUCUUGCUGGUAAAGCUAAUGAACAGAUCGUGCCCCGUAAUUGAUCAACUUUCAAAUUAGGUGGAUCUUGCAUGCAAUUGGACAGUUCUUAUUAGAGCACAAUCCGUUUGAUGUCUGAAUGCCUUGGAUUCGACAGGGAUAAUAUCAUUUGACCCCCUUUCCUUGCUUCUUCAAUUCUUGAUUGAAAAACAGUACCUUGUUUCCUCAGAAAUGAUUUUGCCUUGUUUACUUUACUGUAUUCUUAUUUAAGCAGUCAUUUUAUCAGAAUUUCUAGAUUAGUAGACAUCAAUUUUGGGGAAAACAUAAUGUGGAGGGAUGAUGGCACAAUCUCUACUACCCAAAAUUAUGAU